rnacentral:rRNA from 1 species
UACGUAGGGUGCAAGCGUUAUCCGGAAUUAUUGGGCGUAAAGAGCUCGUAGGCGGUUUGUCACGUCUGCUGUGAAAACUGGAGGCUCAACCUCCAGCCUGCAGUGGGUACGGGCAGACUAGAGUGCGGUAGGGGAGAUUGGAAUUCCUGGUGUAGCGGUGAAAUGCGCAGAUAUCAGGAGGAACACCGGUGGCGAAGGCGGGUCUCUGGGCCGUAACUGACGCUGAGGAGCGAAAGCGUGGGGAGCGAACAGG